rnacentral:lncRNA from 1 species
UAAAAUUAAAAAAAAAUUCAAGCAUGCCAAUUUCGACUCUUUGGUAGUUGCAGAAACAAAUAGAACUCAUGGGAUCUUGCGAAGAUAGUGGAGGAUGAAGAAGAUGGGAAAAUUAAAGAAACAAAGAAAGCCACAUGAUUCCAUAGAAAGCACAUGAUUCCACAGAAAGCCACAUGAUUCCUUGAGCCCAAAUCUCAGAAUAAAUCUAAUUUUAACACAUAAGGUAGAAAUUGAAACUUGCAGAGAAGUGCGGCCACCGUCGCGAUGUUGUGAUGCUGAUGAUUGAUGGAUGAUGAUGAACCGACUACUGAGAGAGAGAAAUCUCCGAACCAGAUCCAGGACCUCUUCUUCACCAGGAUAUGAGCUAAACUUCAGCGACAGGACUUGGGCUAAUCAAAAAACUCAUUUGAUUUCGAGAAGGUCAAAGACAUGAGAAGAAUAAGCAAUCAAAGAGGUACGGUCAAAUCAAUGCUUUCAAUCAGCUUUAACCAAUUCUUUGAUUGCUCAGUCGAAAGAAUCGGGGCCACGUUGAUUUUGAAUUUAUUUGCUGAAUUCUGGGGAAUGAACAUGAGGAAGCGGCGGCCGUAGGAAAUGUAGGGUUUGUUUUGUUUCUCAUUUUUUUUGCUUUUAUACUUAUAAAUAAUAAUUUAAAAAAUUAAUUAAAUAAUAUUUAAAACAAAAAAUCCGGGUCCGGGUUUCGGAAAUCCGAGUUCAGGUGAAC